GAUGAAGAACGCAGCGAAAUGCGAUAAGUAGUGUGAAUUGCAGAAUUCAGUGAAUCAUCGAAUCUUUGAACGCACAUUGCGCCCCUUGGUAUUCCAUGGGGCAUGCCUGUUCGAGCGUCAUUUGUACCUUCAAGCUUUGCUUGGUGUUGGGUGUUUGUCCAUUCUCUUGCAGAGGGACUCGCCUUAAAGUAAUUGGCAGCCAGUGUUUUGGUUUUGAAGCGCAGCACAAGUCGCGAUUCAAAGCUAUACGCCCGCUUCCACAAGCCUUUUUCACUUUUGACCGCGGAUCAGGUAGGGAUACCCGCUGAACUUAAGCAUAUCAAUAAGCGGAGGA
rnacentral:misc_RNA from 1 species